AGGGCUGCAGUAUAUUGACUGUACAAAGGUAGCAUAAUCAUUAGUCAUUUAAUUGAUGACUUGUAUGAAGGAUUUGAUGAGAUAUAAACUGUCUCUUAUUUAAUUAUAAAAUUUAAUUUUUUUAUUAAAAAGUUAAAAUAUCUUAAAAAGACGAGAAGACCCUAUAGAGUUUAAUAAAUUAUUAGAUUGAGAUUAUAUGUAAAACAAAUUUAAAAUAAAAUUAUUUAUUUUGUUGGGGUGACAAAAAAAUACAUUAAACUUUUUUUUAUUUUAAAACAUUUAUAAGUGAUUAAAUGAUCCAAUAAUAUUGAUUAAGAGAAAAAAUUACCUUAGGGAUAACAGCGUAAUUUUUUUUUUUAGUUCAAAUAAGAAAAAGAGUUUGCGACCUCGAUGUUGGAUUAAGAUAAAAUUUAAA
rnacentral:rRNA from 1 species